GAAAUGCGAUAAGUAAUGUGAAUUGCAGAAUUCAGUGAAUCAUCGAAUCUUUGAACGCACCUUGCGCCCUUUGGCUAUUCCGAAGGGCAUGCCUGUUUGAGUAUCAUGAACACCUCAACUCUCAUGGCUUGCCAUGAUGAGCUUGGACGAUGGGGGUCUUGCUGGCCUGUGGUCAGCUCCUCUCAAAUAAAUCAGCUUGCCAGUGUUUGGUGGCGUCACAGGUGUGAUAACUAUCUACGCUUGUGGUUUUCCACUAGGUAACCUUUGGCAACAGAGGUUCGCUGGGGCUUAUAAAGGUCUCUCCUCGGUGAGGGACAGCUCUUUGAACGUUUGAUCUCAAAUCAGGUAGGACUACCCGCUGAACUUAA
rnacentral:misc_RNA from 1 species